UACGGGGGGAGCAAGCGUUGUUCGGAUUUACUGGGCGUAAAGGGCGCGUAGGCGGCGCAACAAGUCACUUGUGAAAUCUCCGGGCUUAACCCGGAGCGGUCAAGUGAUACUGUCGUGCUAGAGUGCGGAAGGGGCUACUGGAAUUCUCGGUGUAGCGGUGAAAUGCGCAGAUAUCGGGAGGAACACCGGUGGCGAAGGCGGGUCUCUGGGCAGUAACUGACGCUGAGGAGCGAAAGCGUGGGGGAGCGAACAGG
rnacentral:rRNA from 1 species